UCGAGAAUAUUCCACAAUGGACGAAAGUCUGAUGGAGCGACGCCGCGUGCAGGAUGAAGGCCUUCGGGUCGUAAACUGCUUUUGUAAGGGAAGAAUGCAAAUGACGGUACCUUACGAAUAAGAGGUUACUAACUCUGUGCCAGCAGUAGCGGUAAUACAGAGACCUCAAGCGUUAUCCGGAUUUAUUGGGCGUAAAGAGCUGGUAGGUGGUUAUAUUAGUCAGGUGUCAAAUCUUCGAGCUCAACUCGAAAACUGCACUUGAAACGGUAUAACUAGAGGGUGUGAGAGAUCUAUGGAACUCAUGGUGUAGCAGUGAAAUGCGUUGAUAUCAUGAGGAACACCAAAGGCGAAGGCAUUAGAUUGGCACACUCCUGACACUGAGCAGCGAAAGCGUGGGUAGCGAAUGGG
rnacentral:rRNA from 1 species